UACGAAGGGGGCUAGCGUUGCUCGGAAUGACUGGGCGUAAAGGGCGCGUAGGCGGCUUGGUAAGUCGGGGGUGAAAGUCAGCGGCUCAACCGCUGGACUGCCUUCGAGACUGCCUGGCUUGAGCAUGGUAGAGGCUGGCGGAAUUCCCGGUGUAGCGGUGGAAUGCGUAGAGAUCGGGAAGAACAUCGGUGGCGAAGGCGGCCAGCUGGGCCAUUGCUGACGCUGAUGCGCGACAGCGUGGGGAGCAAACAGG
rnacentral:rRNA from 1 species